rnacentral:rRNA from 1 species
UACGAAGGGGGCUAGCGUUGCUCGGAAUCACUGGGCGUAAAGGGCGCGUAGGCGGCGUUUUAAGUCGGGGGUGAAAGCCUGUGGCUCAACCACGGAAUGGCCUUCGAUACUGGUUGGCUUGAGACCGGAAGAGGACAGCGGAACUGCGAGUGUAGAGGUGAAAUUCGUAGAUAUUCGCAAGAACACCAGUGGCGAAGGCGGCUGUCUGGUCCGGUUCUGACGCUGAGGCGCGAAAGCGUGGGGAGCAAACAGG